UUCAGAAAAGAGCAGGUAAUAGUGGUGCAUGGCCAUUCUUAGUUGAUGGAGAGAUUUGUCUGGUUAAUUCCAAUAAUGAGUGAGACUCUGACAUGUUAACUAGUUAAGAGAUCCCUGAGCAGUGGGUGUCCUCCAACUUCUUGGACAAGUGGUAUUCAGCACCCUGAGAUUGAGCUAUAAUAGUUCUUCUCAGAACUGUCCUUAGAUAU
rnacentral:ncRNA from 1 species